UUUAUCAACGAGGAGGAUCUGCCAUUUGCAGUGGUUCCGCAAGAGUGGCUCAGCGAGAGCAUGUGCCAUUGGCCCCCAUUUAACCUCAGCAAAAAGACGAAGGCAACAAUUUAGCCAUCCUCUGCACACCUCCACACAGCACCUGGGAGAAACAUCAUUUUAAGUUCAUGAAGGGAGCAGAAUCUUGGAAGUCUCAAGAAAAAAAACUCUAGAAAGAUGCAUCGAUUCCAGAAAACCAGGAAAAUGCUGAACUGGUUUCUCCCCAGUAAUCCAGACUCCACUUCACAGAGCCAAGAGUUUGAGUACAAGUAAGUGAUGUUAUUUGUGAAGUUUUUUUUGUCUUGGAAACUAUUGCUUCUAUUUGAAGUCGGCAUGAACCGGAAGUUACAAACGACUUUUCUCCAGUGUUGUGACGUAUUUAAAAGUGAAACGGUAUAUUGAACGGAGGGCAGGGUUUUACUCUAGCGCUCCUGUUCUCCAUCUCUGCUCAUAGCACGGUUUGAGGGGAGUUGCCACG